CAAGGCUGAGUCAAAUCUGCGUUUCAUCAUCUAUAAGAAAGGUACCUAUCGAGAACACCCUGCUGGCCAGUGUGUAAAUAUCUAAAGGAGGACUCAGAAAACACCGGGGAAGUCCAGCCUGCACGUGGUGGCUGGGCUUCAGUGAAGCAUGCAGCACAACAGGAGUUGGCAGACCACAAAGAGCAUGUCUGGACCUAGAACCACAGCAUGUAACCUCGGAAGCAGUGAGACACCAGCCAGCAUGGACAAGCAGCAGGCACUUGCUCUAUACCAGGUGAGGGUGUGGAGACAUGACGUGGUGCAGGGACACCAGCACCCAGUCCUAGUUCUGGUCCCUCUCAGCCUUGUUAGGUCCUGGUUCCUAAGAUUCCAGGGAACAUCCCCACAGCCUCACAAUAAGAUCCUCCUUUCCUGCAUUAUGCUGCAUGAUAGAACGCUAUGCCCUCUCACAGAUAGGUCCCACCUCCAGCCUUCCCCUGCUGCCAUCUAACAUCCUAAACUCCAGCUCUGAAUGUCUGUCUCCUGCUCUGAAUCUUCAGUGACUUCGAAACUCAAGUCAGGACACCUCUCAGUUUGGCCUCACUGCUCAAGAUUGAGCUGAAUUCAUGACCAUAAUUCAAGCAUUCAGAUUCAUGGGCUGUUUUGUGGGUUUUGCUAUCUCUUAUUUUGUUUUUGCACAUCUUACCCACUGAAACGUUGGGCUGCAAAAAGUUUGAUCACUAAAUAUGUAGGCAAUGCUGGAUACUGGGCUGUUAUUUACAUAUUUGUAUCACCUUUUAUUUCAUAAGAUAGCAUUGUCAGAGUAAUUUAGUAUUUCAACAUAAUCAACAAGUAAAAUAAAAUUAAUGAGAAUGAU
rnacentral:lncRNA from 1 species